CAACCCGCACCCCAUACGAACACUGGUUCAGAAGCACUUUGGCAUUGCGGAACGCAGUUUCCUUGCCACAAAGCAGGUCCUCGGUUUAGAAAUUUUUCAGGAGGGAAAUUGCCUGGAUAAUAGGGAAAGAGAAUUGAGGUGUAGACAGCACUGGGUCCUUCGGAUACGGGUUAAUAAUAACAUCAGUAGUAAAAUAAUAAUAGCUGUCAUUUGCCAUACUUAGACACUAUCAGACGCUGUGCUUUUGCUGCUAAGCAGUUGCCAUGAUUUAAAACUUGGUGUAGAUGGGUAAACUGCGGCGCUUAGCAGCGGAGCCCUUGGUUCCCAGAGGCCAGACAAAAGCAGGACUUGAAGCCGAGAAUGUCCUCGGCUCCAGCUGGUGCCCCAGCCCUAAGCCAGCCCCUGAUGCAUGGGGGAUCCUGGGUCCCAGGUCUCGGCAGGCCCCACCCCUGCCAGGUAGAGCAAGCCUGUGAAGGCAUUGCUCUGACACGUGACUGUGCUUGUAUCGACCCACCUGCAUGCUGGGAGUCACUAGUUCCCAGGGUUAGGAAGAACCUUCCAGUUCAGCAUAGGUGACAGAAUGUGUUUGUCUUACCAAGUUUCCUUUCUCUUUGUUUUCAAGGGGCUUCCUUCCAGUUCUCCUUCUUACGGCUUCACCACUGGUGUGGUCAACACGGCAAGCAAAAUUAUCCCGACUAAAGUGUUUGAUCUUCAGAUAAGAUACUCCUAUGCAUUUUGCAAGUUCACUUUAAGAUGACCUGCGCUGAUACCUGUUUUCACUAACUGGAAGAGAUCUGAAGAGGACUUUUGCUCUUAGGAGGACAGACCUUCAUCAAGGCCGCUGCAGGUCCAUCAGCUUUGUUCCCCAGGAACUCAAGAGCCUCGUAAGAACUUCACGAGGGCCAUUCAUCCAGGGAGUCCUCAGCCUCAGUUCUCACAGGCCCACAGAAGUCUCACUCAGAGGUGAAGCUAGAAAACAAAUUCUGCCAGAUAGCCAUGAAGCCAGUCUCUUUUCUCCAUCUGACUUCGCGUGGUCUGUCUCCUCUGCCUUCACGGUCUGCCCUCCCAUCUGGGCAAUUCCAGUCCGUGCUCCAGCAUCUCUCAAAGAAGACCCUGUGGCUUGCUCUCAUCAGGAGAAUCAUGUGAGGGCCAUCAAGUGGGUGGACCUUGAUCCGCUAAUUAGAGGAGAGAAAAGGCAUGGUAUUGUGCCCGAGGCAGGGCAGGCUUGCCUGAGGGGUGGUCUGGGCAAAAGGUG
rnacentral:lncRNA from 1 species